UACAGAGGUCUCGAGCGUUAGGCGGAAUCACUGGGCUUAAAGCGUGUGUAGGUGGAUGCCUAAGUACCUUGUGAAAUCCCACAGCUUAACUGUGGAACUGCUUGGUAUACUGGGUGUCUUGAGUCACUCAGGGGCGAGCGGAACAAAUGGUGGAGCGGUGAAAAUGCGUAGAUAUCAUUUGGAACGCCAAUGGGUGAAAACAGCUCGCUGGGGGUGUACUGACACGUGAGACACGGAAAAGCCAGGGGAGCGAACGGG
rnacentral:rRNA from 1 species